AACGAACGCUGGCGGCGCGUUUUAAGCAUGCAAGUCGCACGGUAGACGGGUUUCGGCCUGUUGAGAGUGGCGGACGGGUGAGUAACGCGUAGGAAUCUACCUAUCUGUGGGGGAUACCAACUGGAAACGGUUGUUAAUACCGCAUAAUAUCUGAGGAUUAAAAGUGGCUUCGGCUGCUGCGGAUAGAUGAGCCUGCGUUAGAUUAGCUUGUUGGUGGGGUAAAGGCCUACCAAGGCUGCGAUCUAUAGCUGAUUUGAGAGGAUGAUCAGCCACAUUGGAACUGAGACACGGUCCAAACUCCUACGGGAGGCAGCAGUGGGGAAUAUUGGACAAUGGGCGAAAGCCUGAUCCAGCAAUACCAUGUGUGUGAAGAAGGCUCUAGGGUUGUAAAGCACUUUAGUCAGGGAGGAAGUUUAGUUGGUUAAUAGCUGGUUAAAUUGACGUUACCUGAAGAAUAAGCACCGGCUAACUCCGUGCCAGCCGCCGCGGU
rnacentral:rRNA from 1 species